GAGUACAAGGCUUCUAACGGAGUUUAGCAGAAAUCUGGGUUUCUCCCUUUCACACCAUUCCUUCCAACUUCUACUUUCCCGGCGAGCCACGGGGAUGUGGCUUUCUAUCUGUCCAGCAGCUCAGCUUGCAAUGCUUUGGGCGAGAUAAAACUUCCUGCCCCUUGUCUGAAUCUGCAGGAUUGGGGCAGUUGAAGGCAGAUGGCUCCCGGCAACCGUCCCUGCAGAGCCUUAAGCACACACUGAAGAGCAUGGUACCCGGCCCGGAGGAUGGACGGUGGAGCGAGGUUCGGGUGGGCAAAAAAGCCAGACACGGAGUGGCCUCGCUCCGGGGCAACCGGACAUAACUGGAAUAGAAACCUGGGUGGACUGUGCAGCCAGACAGCGCCGCCCCACCUCCGCUCACGCAGCCUCUGCCGCCCCCUGCCGGCUGCAGCUGGAGUUGCCGAAGCCACGAAGACCCCACUCCACCCCAACCCCAAGCCCAGGGCUGAGCUGAGAGUCCUGACCCCUGUUUCUGAUUUACCAAACCCACUUAAACUGCUCCAAGGACCGUGCUUGCUAGCCCAUUUACUUAAAAAAUGGACUUACAGGUCCUGCUUGGAGUUCGGAAGCAAACCAGAGACUUCCUGCUCAAAGAUUUUAAUUACUUGAGCACAAUGCUGAAGAUCUAAAUACUUAACAAAAUAUUUUGAUCUCCUAGGCAAUAUUAACCAGUUACUGGCUCUUCUCACCCACCGGGACAGUGGGAGAAAUCAGUGUAAGUAUAAAUAGUAUGAAAGAUUUUAAACGAACUCUUUAAAAGCACCCUCUCAUACAGACAACAUCUUCUGCUACGGGAAGAGUCAAAGACCCGGAAAUGACUAGCCAUCGCAAAGUAUGGUUCUAGAUCAGUUUAACCAAUCAGCUCUCACAGGUCACUCAUGGUCUCCGAAGGAAAAGUAGCCAGAAGGGUGCACUAUGAACUGUGUUUAUCGGUUGGAAGAACAUGAAAUCAACUCUAUUCCCAAUUUCUUUCCGUCUGGUUGCUCCCAAUAAAGCUUUGAUUAGUGUUAAUAAGAGCAUUGUGAAUGGACAGCCAUGGUCACGUUCUCCGUUUUAAAAGAAAUGCUUUCAGCAUUUUCCCCAUUCCAUCAAAUGCCGGCUGUUGUUUGACAUGUGAAGCCUUAAUUCUUUGGGGAUGGGACCCUUUUAUUCCUAGUUUGUUUGGGGCUUUAAUUGUGGAAAGAUGUUGAAUUUUAUAAAAUGCUUUUUACUGAA